CGGUGAAUCGUUCACCGCGUUCUCCUAUUUCUUUUAAAGACGGUGAAUCGUUCACCGCGUUCUCCUAUUUCUUUUAAAGGCGGUAAAUCAUUCACCGUUUUCUCCCAUAACUUAUUACUGUUAUUUUCUAUAUUCCAUAUAUAAUCCUAACAACCACAUAAAAAUUCUAACAAAUUAUAUAUAAUCUUAACAACCUUUAAAUCCUAAUAAUUUAUCUAUAUAAUUUCAUAUAAUCUUAACUGCCUUUAUAUGAAAUUAUAUGGAUAAAUUAUUAGGAUUUAAAAGUUGUUAAGAUUAUAUGGGAUAUAGAAAGAAACAGUAAAUAAGUGAAAAGCGGUGAAUGAUUUACCGUUUUUAAAAGAAAUGGGAGAAAGCGGUGAAUGAUUUACCGUCUUUAAAAGAAAUGGGAGAAAGCGGUGAACGAUUUACCGCCUUUAAAAUAAAAGAAAUAAGAGAAAACGGCGAACGAUUCACCGUCUUUAUAAAAAAAUCCUGACGUGGCGCCUACGUGGCGAAAGGAGGGUUAGUUUUACAAAUAAAAUUUUUACAUGGUUAUUUUGCCAAUUACAAUUUUUUAGAGGGUCAUUUUAUAAAAAAG
rnacentral:lncRNA from 1 species